GUUAGCUCAGUCGGUAGAGCACGGGACUCUUAAUCCCGGGGUCGUGGGUUCGGGCGUCAAUGUUUUUACU